UACCAGCACCCCGAGUGGUCGGGACGAUUAUUGGGCCUAAAGCAUCCGUAGCCGGUUCUACAAGUCUUCCGUUAAAUCCAGCUGCUUAACAGAUGGGCUGCGGAGGAUACUAUAAGACUAGGAGGCAGGAGAGGCAAGCGGUACUCAGUGGGUAGGGGUAAAAUCCGUUGAUCCAUUGAAGACCACCAGUGGCGAAGGCGGCUUGCCAGAAUGCGCUCGACGGUGAGGGAUGAAAGCUGGGGGAGCAAACGGG
rnacentral:rRNA from 1 species